rnacentral:misc_RNA from 1 species
CGUCUCGUUCGUUCGCUCUCUCGCUUCCAUGUUUGUUCGUGGUAAUUUCUCAUUUCAGUGAUACAUUUUCUAAUUUGCUGUGUAAAAAUCGAUGUUUUUAACAAUUUAGGAGUGUAAUUCAUGAAAUUUUCGGCAUUACGGCGACCUCGUGAGGAUUUAUCGCCCGAGGAAAAGUGUACAUCGGCGAAAUAAUAACAGGGAGGGUGAUGGCAACAAACAGGAGCGGCGCUGUUCAGCGGCCAAACGGCGCGCCCCAGACCAAAGUGUGCCAGUUCAAGCUGGUGCUGCUCGGCGAGUCCGCGGUGGGCAAGUCCUCGCUGGUACUCCGGUUCGUCAAGGGCCAGUUCCACGAGUACCAGGAGAGCACGAUCGGGGCGGCGUUCCUCACGCAGACCGUCUGCCUUGAUGACACCACUGUGAAGUUCGAGAUAUGGGAUACAGCGGGGCAGGAGAGAUAUCACAGUUUAGCACCGAUGUACUACAGAGGGGCGCAGGCCGCCAUCGUCGUUUAUGAUAUAACUAAUCAAGACACAUUCGGUCGCGCGAAGAAUUGGGUGAAGGAGCUCCAGCGGCAGGCGUCCCCAUCGAUAGUGAUCGCCCUGGCCGGGAACAAGAGCGACUUGGCCGCCAAGCGCAUGGUCGAGUUCGAGGAGGCCCAAGCGUACGCCGACGAGAACGGGCUGCUCUUCAUGGAGACCAGCGCCAAGACCGCCAUGAAUGUCAACGACAUCUUCCUGGCUAUUGGUGAGUUUUCUACUAUUUUGGUAGUAAAAGUGACUCGGCCGCCAAGCGCAUGGUCGAGUUCGAGGAGGCCCAAGCGUACGCCGACGAGAACGGGCUGCUCUUCAUGGAGACCAGCGCCAAGACCGCCAUGAAUGUCAACGACAUCUUCCUGGCUAUUGCGAACAAGUUACCAAAGAGCGAGUCGGCGGGCGCGGCGGGCGCGGGCGCGCGGCGGCUCAACGACAACGACGCGCCGCGCGCCGGCGGCUGCUGCAAGUGAUACUCUCACAGAAAUGUCCCACACAGCGCUCGGCGCGGGCCGGCGUCGGGGCGCCGCCGGAGACUUGCGGCGCGCCCCGGGCUCGGCCCCACACACACACACCACCCGCCAAUUCUAAUGCCAUCUGUUUAAAACUAUAUUGACAUUGACACCUGUCAGAACACGCGCCAAAUAGUGACAUCAGAAUUGGCGCCAAACCGAAAAGAUUGAAACCGUCACCCACGUUCCGGUUUCAAACUUCUCGGACGAAACGCAGGCGGCGGCGACCCAAUAUUAUUAAAAAAAAACGCUAUAUGAUAAAUAGAUUAAAACUUAUUUGUAAUUUUAAUGAGAUGUAAUAAAAGAUAUAUUUAAUUUCGUUUGUAUCAUGUUAUAGGCAGUCGGCUGCACUGUUCCCAUGUAGUUUAAGGGGUUACAUAACGAAAUUUCGGUUUAGGCCGUAUAAUGUCGUUGCUAUGUUAAAGAUGCUGCAGUCGGAAGGGAUACGCUUACUUGCUGUUAAAGUCAACGCAUAAUAUAGAUGAGGGCUAUUGAACAGUAAUAAAAAAAAAACAAUUAAGUGUUCUCAUUUUAAAAUUGCCACCCACAAAAUAGCGAGAACAUUCCUUGAUAAAGUUUAAGAGUUUUAUUUAAAGGUCUCAUCGAAUAAACUGAAAUUUAAUGUAACAAUGUUAUUUCUUCAAUGAAUUUUUCAAAUCUACGACAUUUCAGCCGUCGUUCAAAACGUAUGACUUCCAGUUGCAGUACAGUAAUACGUCACAUAGAAGCAUAAGCUUCAAUAACUAUCAAAACGUGGUGAAGGUGCAUUUACAUUCGCGAUUCAUUCUCACUUCGCUUUCAUUUUACUUACGCCGAGGCCGUGAAACAUAGAUCCCGGAGGAAAUAUAAAAAAAAAAUAUGUCAACGUUAAUUUUUGUACAGCAAAAUGUCAAAUAAGUUGCCAGCCAACAUUCAUAAUAAAUUUUUAUUUGCAUGUUAAUAUAAUUGUAGAGUUACAUCAGAAGUAAAGUUUCUGUAUCUUGUUUCGAUUAUUUAGAUUUUUUGGUUUAGCCGAUUGGUUGGCGAAUUGUCAUAUUUCCGAAUGUCAAAUGUGAAACUUUAUAAAAAUAUGUUGGCUUUUGAUAUCUUAUUUGACAUUUGUUAUAAUAAAUUAUAAAUACUUAAAAAAAACCAAUUAAUUUCGGUCCAAAAGAUUUUCCUUCAUGAAGCUAUACAUUGAAUUUUGAAACUUGAAUACAGCUGUCACCUCUGUGAAAUACCGCGUCUGUGAGCCGGUCUCAUUGCAAAAUAAACCCUAUUACUUUGUAGAUAAGAGUUGUAUUCGCAUCGCUUCAAUCGUGGUUUCAUCGUUUUCCACAAGGUCCUAGGCUAAUUUCAUCACCGCCGUUUCUCCUGCACAUUUCAAUAUAUUUUUUUAUAUAAGCGGCAAGACGAAACAUUCUGAAAAAGAGAGAAAACAUGUCCUCUGGACUCUUGUCAACGUGAAUAACCUCUCAGACGGAGUUUUGACCGUUCUAUAACUAUAGGUACUUGUCGCUUUGAAAUAUUUUGUCAUCUUGAGGUCACACAACAAUCCUGUACAUUCUGUGCCACAGCAACUAAAUUAUUGUAGGUAAUUUUAAUUAAGUUGUUCAUUCUGUUAAUUUAACAUUGGUACAUCCGGCCUUGAUUUGAGGUUAUUGUUUGCAACAUUGACACGUCAUUUGAAAAAAUAAAAGCUUUUAAAAAGUAUUUAUUUAUUCAAAUUUCAGUAGAGCCACACACCAAAAUAUAUUGAAAUGUGGAGGAACAAACGCAUUUCUUAUUUAGUUCAAACAAUAGUUAUUUAAUAUUAGGUUUACACGUCUCAGUUAGGUCGUUGUAGUUAUUUUAAAACACACUAAUUAUUCAAUGGACAAAUUGUUCUACGUUAUGUUUAUGUAACUUUAUAAUUAUAUAUUUUAAGCAAAGUGUAUCUUGGUGGUUUUGCUAAUCAGUGUUUCAGCAUUAUAUUUGUAUAUCGCAUUCCAUACAGGGGUCCGUUCUGGGUUUUCCGAACUUAAUAUGUAAAAUAUUGGUCAUAGAAAAACAUCAGUAGACGGAACUAUGGUCGAGGAGUAAUCGCCUCAAUAUUUAUAGCUAAAUAUUUUUUAUAGGCUUGUUCUUGUAGCUGUAAUAUCUAAUGGGAAGAUUAAUUUUGUCUGAAAAAUGUCUUGAUACUGAGCGAUGCUACACUUGAUAUUCUUCAUUUGUGAUAUAAAUAUUAACCUAUUACAAAAUUGUUAAUGCAUUUGGUGAGCCCUGAAUCCCGAAAAUUAUAGAAAAUGUCCAAUAAGGUUUUCAUGUAAAAUCGAUUGCGGUUACUAUACAACUUUUGUUAUACAUAGAUGUUAUGUAUCUUAUUUUGGAUAUGGAAAUUGGAGGCUCGUGACCGCCCGCUUCCCAGCGCCUGAGCAACUGUCUUAUUGUAAAAUUAAAUGCCGAUCGUUGGUAAGAGCAUUCCUAUAAACGACUAGACCGGUAUAGCUUAUGUGAUAAAAUAUUGUAUUACACGUAUAUAUAAUAUCUUUUAGGAUUUCAAAAAUAUAUUGUAAUUAAUGAAAAUACAAUUAUAAAAUUUUCUCGGCGAUUCUCGUUGUUGAUGAAUCAUCAAUAUUGCUAUAAAGAUUUAUGAAGGAAUGUUGCCAACUUUUUGUCAGCCGAAUAAACAAUUUUUUUCUGGUAUAAACACCAUCUACUCGUCUUCUUAAGAUAUCUACUACUCGGCUUACUUAACCGAUUCAUUGCGGAUGACGCUAAUGAGCGUCAUUGAUUUCUUUUAAUCAAUGACGCUCAUUGGCGUCCUCCGCAAUGAAUCGGUGCUUGAACUGACAAAUUAAUGUUAAUACGGCCUUACAAUGCGGCGACCACAAGCGGAGAUGAGUAGGUAUCAACCAAUCGCGCAACGUUUUCAAACAAUUGAGCGCUGCUAUUGGUUGAUUCCCCGCAGCUCCGUUUCUUUAUACGCUAGUUUCGUGUUUGGGAGCGGGCGGUCAAGCUGGGCGGCUAUGGCGGACGCCACAAGUGGUCGAAGCCGUAACUGACCGGCGGCGGGAUGCUAACGCGCGGUAACAUUGUAUGUUUUUGUAUUGUGUAAAUAUUUUGGAUUUAUUAAGAUUAUUAUAUUGAAUAAAAAAAAUAUUGUAAAUGGA